rnacentral:rRNA from 1 species
AAUUCCUACGGGGGGCAGCAGUAGGGAAUCUUCCACAAUGGACGAAAGUCUGAUGGAGCAACGCCGCGUGAGUGAAGAAGGGUUUCGGCUCGUAAAGCUCUGUUGGUAGUGAGAAAAAAUAGAGGUAGUAACUGGCCUUUAUUUGACGGUAAUUACUUAGAAAGUCACGGCUAACUACGUGCCAGCAGCCGCGGUAAUACGUAAGUGGCAAGCUGUGUCCGGAUUUAUUGGGCG